rnacentral:rRNA from 1 species
AACGAACGCUGGCGGCAUGCCUAACACAUGCAAGUCGAACGAGAAGCUAUCUUCGGAUAGUGAAAGUGGCGCACGGGUGAGUAACGCGUGGGAACCUGCCCUGAGGUUCGGAAUAACGAUUGGAAACGGUCGCUAAUACCGGAUGAGCCCUGAGGGGGAAAGAUUUUAUCGCCUUGGGAGGGGCCCGCGUCCGAUUAGCUUGUUGGUGUGGUAACGGCGCACCAAGGCUUCGAUCGGUAGCUGGUCUGAGAGGAUGAUCAGCCACACUGGGACUGAGACACGGCCCAGACUCCUACGGGAGGCAGCAGUGGGGAAUAUUGGACAAUGGGGGCAACCCUGAUCCAGCAAUGCCGCGUGUGUGAAGAAGGCCUUAGGGUUGUAAAGCACUUUCAGUCGUGACGAUGAUGACGGUAACGACAGAAGAGGCCCCGGCUAACUCCGUG